rnacentral:rRNA from 1 species
AGUCUGAUGGAGCAACGCCGCGUGAGUGAAGAAGGAUUUCGGUUCGUAAAACUCUGUUGCAAGGGAAGAACAAGUAGCGUAGUAACUGGCGCUACCUUGACGGUACCUUGUUAGAAAGCCACGGCUAACUACGUGCCAGCAGCCGCGGUAAUACGUAGGUGGCAAGCGUUGUCCGGAAUUAUUGGGCGUAAAGCGCGCGCAGGUGGUUCCUUAAGUCUGAUGUGAAAGCCCCCGGCUCAACCGGGGAGGGUCAUUGGAAACUGGGGAACUUGAGUGCAGAAGAGGAUAGUGGAAUUCCAAGUGUAGCGGUGAAAUGCGUAGAGAUUUGGAGGAACACCAGUGGCGAAGGCGACUGUCUGGUCUGUAACU